CCUACGGGAGGCAGCAGUAGGGAAUAUUGCACAAUGGGGGAAACCCUGAAGCAGCAACGCCGCGUGGAGGAUGAAGGUUUUCGGAUUGUAAACUCCUUUUGUUAGAGAAGAUAAUGACGGUAUCUAACGAAUAAGCACCGGCUAACUCCGUGCCAGCAGCCGCGGUAAUACGGAGGGGGCAAGCGUUACUCGGAAUCACUGGGCGUAAAGAGCGCGUAGGCGGGAUAGCAAGUCAGAUGUGAAAUCCUAUGGCUUAACCAUAGAACUGCAUUUGAAACUGUUAUUCUAGAGUAUGGGAGAGGUAGGUGGAAUUCUUGGUGUAGGGGUAAAAUCCGUAGAGAUCAAGAGGAAUACUCAUUGCGAAGGCGACCUGCUGGAACAUAACUGACGCUGAUGCGCGAAAGCGUGGGGAGCAAACAGGAUUAGAUACCCGGGUAGUC
rnacentral:rRNA from 1 species